rnacentral:tRNA from 1 species
GCGGGGGUGACCGAGUCCGGCCAAACCAAAAAAAUAAUAAACAUGAGGUUUGAGGUGCUAGGCUUAGGACCUAGUGGCGUAGGCCUGCGUGGGUUCAAAUCCCAUCCCCCGCACCA